CAGACACACAAAGUAUAAAGUACUGUUUGAAUACUAGUUUUACCAUUAAUUCACAUAGUACAAUACAUUAAGGACAGAGAUCCUACAUGGGGAGUAAGUGCACAGUGACUCCCAUUGUUGAUUUAACAAUUGACACUCUUAUUUAUGACAUCAGUGAUCACCCAAGGCUCUUGUCAUGAGUUGCCAAGGCUAUGGAAGCUUCUUGAAUCCACAAACUCUGGCAUUAUUUAGACAGGGCCGUAAGCAAAGUGGAAGUUCUCUCCUCCCUUCAGAGAAAAGUACCUCCUUCUUUGAUGGCCCCUUCUUUCCACUGGGGUCUCACUCAUAGAGAUCCUUCAUGUAGAUAAUUUUUUUCCACAGUGUCUUGACUUUCCAUGCCUGAAAUGUUCUCAUGGGCUUUUCCGCCAGAUCUGAAUGCCUUAAGGGUUGAUUCUGAGGUCAGAGUGUUCUAGGAUUUCUGGAUUGGAGGAAGAGGUGUUUUUGUCCGAGAGAGAGGAGCCGGAUGUCACCCAGAGCUUCUAACCCCACCGCAAACAGAGCAAAGUAGGCUUCAUCUCUUUCCAUGGCAGUCUGUUAGCACACAUUUUCAGAUGCACUUCAGAAAGGAAACCAAAUAGAAGUGUGGAAGCAUGUUAAUUACCCAACAACAUGGCACACCAGAUGGCCACCAAGGUCUGCUGCAGUCGAGUAGGUAAAUACUGUGUCCCAUCCCUUUUGUCCUUUCUGCAAACCAAAGUCUGAAUUAUGUUCCUUCAAAGACUCUUAAUGGACAAAGUAAACAGAUGAUAGGCAAGCCAUAUUUAUAAAAAAGAACAGUAAAGAGUGAAGGCAGACAUUUAUUUUUCCCCUCUUGAUAAAUUCUACAGAAUUAUUGGCUCCAGAAAAAAGUCUUCUAAUGCUAACAUGCAUGUCCUCCGU